rnacentral:rRNA from 1 species
UACGUAGGGGGCAAGCGUUGUCCGGAUUUAUUGGGUUUAAAGGGUGCGUAGGCGGCCCCAUAAGUCAGUGCUGAAAUACUCUAGCUCAACUAGAGGGGUGGCAUUGAUACUGCAGGGCUUGAGUACAGACGAGGUAGGCGGAAUUGACGGUGUAGCGGUGAAAUGCAUAGAUAUCGUCAAGAACACCGAUAGCGAAGGCAGCUUACUGGGCUGUAACUGACGCUGAUGCACGAAAGUGUGGGGAUCAAACAGG